UAAAAGUUCUCACCUCCUUGCUCCAUCAACACAGGGGCCAUUGAUUUUUGCGAAAACCCCUUAAUCUCUUUAAGCCUCAACUUCCUCAUCAGAAAAAUGGGGAUAACAACACCUUCCCUUUGUGCCUCCCCAGGUUGUGAGUGAGGAAUGGAUGCCAUUGUUAGUGGCUUCCGUUGUGCUCAGUGGAAACACGCAUCUACAGGUAGAAUGUAGAGGAACAGCCCAAUUCAGCUGUCUUGUGGAUUUCAGGCUGUGGUCUCUCUGCCUCUCUCUGGAACACAGGAGGAACUUUGCUACUGCCUUGACCAACAGAAUAUGGGGGAAGCGACAUUGUGUGAAUUACAAGGUUAGGUCAUACAAAUUCUAUGCACUUCCUUUUUUUCUCUCUUGGGACAUUUUCUCUUGGAACCCAGUCACCACGCUCUGAAGAGGCCCAAAUUGGCCCACGUUGAGAGAUUACAUGCAGAGGCCAGGUAUAGGUGAUCUGGCAGUAGUAAGCUGAAGACCAGAAUUAAACACGAGACAUGUAAGUGAAGAUAACUCCAGCUACUGCCAGCCCCCAGCAGUUGAGCACACCCCCAGUCUUUAUGUCUUCCCACAUGAGGCCCCAGGUAUGGUGGAACAGCAAUAAACCACCCUGCUGAGUCUUGUUUAAACGCCUAGCCCUCAGCAUCGGCAAGAUAAGGGCUGGUUUAUGCCGCUCCCAGAUGGUUGUCUCAUGGGGUGAUUUGUUAAACAGAAAGAGAAACUGGAAGGAACACACACUUCAGUGGGAGGCAUUAAGGAUAGAGGCACACUCUGAGCCAUGCCAGGAACCCAUAGCAUCCAGCACAGGGCAUCCUGAGCUGCCGGCCUCACUGACAGUCAUGGCAGUCAUCUUUGCUCCUCCAGUCGUGGUAAUUCUCAGAAGGUUUUCAUGGAUAAACAUGGGGCAGGUGGUGCAGAGACUGCUUGCCAUCUCUCUCCACAAAUGAAGAAACUGAGACUCAGUGAGAGUAAGUGGCUAGCUAAAGUCCCUACAGUGGGUGAGUGGACCAAGCCAGCAUCUCCCACACCCAGCAAAGCACCAUCUAAUUCUUCCUAUUACACUGGCCUCGGUACCCUCCCUGUCUCCUGCCCUUUCCCU
rnacentral:lncRNA from 10 species